rnacentral:rRNA from 1 species
GAUGAACGCUGGCGGCGUGCCUAAUACAUGCAAGUCGAGCGAACAGACGAGGAGCUUGCUCCUCUGACGUUAGCGGCGGACGGGUGAGUAACACGUGGAUAACCUACCUAUAAGACUGGGAUAACUUCGGGAAGCCGGAGCUAAUACCGGAUAACAUGUUGAACCGCAUGGUUCAACAGUGAAAGACGGUUUUGCUGUCACUUAUAGAUGGAUCCGCGUCGCAUUAGCUAGUUGGUAAGGUAACGGCUUACCAAGGCAACGAUGCGUAGCCGACCUGAGAGGGUGAUCGGCCACACUGGAACUGAGACACGGUCCAGACUCCUACGGGAGGCAGCAGUAGGGAAUCUUCCGCAAUGGGCGAAAGCCUGACGGAGCAACGCCGCGUGAGUGAAGAAGGUCUUCGGAUCGUAAAACUCUGUUAUUAGGGAAGAACAAAUGUGUAAGUAACUAUGCACGUCUUGACGGUACCUAAUGAGAAAGCCACGGCUAACUACGUG